rnacentral:rRNA from 1 species
GAUGAACGCUGGCGGCGUGCCUAAUACAUGCAAGUCGAGCGAACGGACGAGAAGCUUGCUUCUCUGAUGUUAGCGGCGGACGGGUGAGUAACACGUGGAUAACCUACCUAUAAGACUGGGAUAACUUCGGGAAACCGGAGCUAAUACCGGAUAAUAUUUUGAACCGCAUGGUUCAAAAGUGAAAGACGGUCUUGCUGUCACUUAUAGAUGGAUCCCCGCUGCAUUAGCUAGUUGGUAAGGUAACGGCUUACCAAGGCAACGAUGCAUAGCCGACCUGAGAGGGUGAUCGGCCACACUGGAACUGAGACACGGUCCAGACUCCUACGGGAGGCAGCAGUAGGGAAUCUUCCGCAAUGGGCGAAAGCCUGACGGAGCAACGCCGCGUGAGUGAUGAAGGUCUUCGGAUCGUAAAACUCUGUUAUUAGGGAAGAACAUAUGUGUAAGUAACUGUGCACAUCUUGACGGUACCUAAUCAGAAAGCCACGGCUAACUACGUG